rnacentral:tRNA from 2 species
AAAGGAAAUAAGAAUAAAAGCAGCUGCUAACUAGCUUUUAAAGCGGUUAAAUUCCGUUUUUUCCUUA